CUGUGUUUGGAAUGCUGAACACGGAACAGGCUGCUUCCAAAUGAAUCACAGAGCUUACACAUCUCUCUGAGGGAUACAAGUAUGGCUGUUAACCUUUUCCAAUCAUGCUGGGCGGUUCCACCACUUCUAGAUUUUAGAGGCUGUGGGGAAUCAAGAUUCUUCCAUCAUGAAGUGUGUCAUAUGCAGUUCUGACCAGCAGGAUGUGGAGUGAUGGGUGUUCAGCUCAGCUGUCAUGGGAUGCCGUAUGACUGAUGGGCCAGCCUGAUGUUUACGCUGUCUUGACCUCUGACCCUGAAGGGUCGAGCUGUUGUACGUCACCCAUCUCUGGCACUUCAGACCAGACCAUCUCUCACUGUCUCCUCGUCUCCACAGCGACCAGACGGCUGUGAGGCCACUGGAUGGAGGGAGUGCAAUGAGCUGUCUUUUUUCUAAUGAAUAGUGCUACUAUUCUGUGAGUGACCUGUCAGAUGUGACAGGCGAGACGUGAGGGAUUGUUCAAAGGCCUGCAAGAGGAGCUGACAGGUCUCCUGAAGAGUGAUGGCUAUUUCCACAUACAGUGUUACUGGCACGAGCGAGGAGAAUGGCAGCCCUCGCAAGUCCACCUCCACUCCUGUCAGCAGGAUAGUUAACACAACACUGAGGGCCAUAAGUCAGAAGCCAAAGGUCAAAGGUCAAGGCGCGUGCUCCAACUUCACCUCAGCGCCAGGCGUGAGUCGCACGAGCAUGGAAAUGGUACUGUGCUUGGAGCGAGUGCUCUUCAACUGCACGCACAAAGGCGCCGGCGCGUGCUGUAGCUUGUAUCAUUUACUACUCGCAUGCAAUGUCAUGGUCAGUCAUGAAGUUACCAAAAAGGCCAUUAACCUUUUAAGACCUGGCAAAACAUUUUAGGAAAAAAAAUAAAUAAUAAUAAUGUAUUUUUUCAUGUCAUUACAUUGUUUAGAGCAUAAAAAAAGAAAUGAAAAGAAAAAAAAAACUGAAAAAACAUAAUCACCAAUACAUUUUUAGUUUUCUGGAUUUUUAUUUUUUACCAAACUUUGUAGAAAGAUAGUUCUCAACUAUGUUAUAACAGAAUGAUUUAAUAUACCAUUUUCUUUAUGAAAAAAUGUGUAUAAAAUGUCCAUAAACAGGUUUUCUCGUUAUAUAUAACGUAUCUUUAAACUAAAUCUAAUUUGCAUAUUAAUGUGUUUUUGGGGCAACAUGUAACGAAAAAAAGAAGUGUAAUAAUGGGAGUAAUAAUUGACCAGAUUUUCAUAAUAAUAUAUACUAUUUCAUAGGAAUAUUAAAAUAUAAUUUCUUUCCCUAUUCAUUUGUUAUUUGUGUGUGUGUGUGUGUGUGUGUGUGUGUCUGUGUGUCUGUGUGUGUGUGUGUGUGUGUGUGUGUGUGUGUGUGUGUGUGUGUGUGUUUAUAUAUAAGCUUAUACACAUAUAUUAUGUAAACACAAACUUUUUGGGGGGAUGUGAUUAAUCACAGUUAAUCGAUUUGAUUAUAGCCCUGUUUUUAUUAUUAUGAUUAUGAUAAUAAUUAUUUCUUGAUUUUUUUUUUCUUUCUGAUAUUUUUGUUUUUGAACAUUUCUGAAAUAUUCAAGACAGAACUAUUCAAAAGCUGUGUGGAUUACUUUGCUUGUACUUCAAAAUUUAUUUUGGUUUGUUUAAUGGGAAUAACAACAUUUUAUCUUACUGUAUUAUUAUUAUUAUUAUUAUUAUUAUUAUUAUUAUUAUUAUUAUUAUUAAUGGUAUCAUUAUCAUUACUCCUAAUUUUGCUGGUUUUGUUCAUCUCCUAAAAUGUAAAGUUUGUGUGUUGUACAUUUCUCGUACUUUCAAUUUCUUUCUUUCUUUCUUUCUUUCAUAAUAAUAAU
ensembl:lncRNA